rnacentral:rRNA from 1 species
AUUGAACGCUGGCGGCAUGCCUUACACAUGCAAGUCGAACGCGAAAGCGGGGCAACCCGCAAGUAGAGUGGCGAACGGGUGAGUAAUACAUCGGAACGUACCCAGUAGCGGGGGAUAACCUCUCGAAAGAGAAGCUAAUACCGCAUACGACCUAUGGGUGAAAGCGGGGGAUCGCAAGACCUCGCACUAUUGGAGCGGCCGAUGUCGGAUUAGCUAGUUGGCGGGGUAACGCCCACCAAGGCGACGAUCCGUAGCUGGUCUGAGAGGACGACCAGCCACACUGGAACUGAGACACGGUCCAGACUCCUACGGGAGCAGCAGUGGGGAAUUUGGACAAUGGGCGCAAGCCUGAUCCAGCCAUG